rnacentral:rRNA from 1 species
AGCGAACGCUGGCGGCAGGCUUAACACAUGCAAGUCGAACGGUCCUUCGGGAUAGUGGCGGACGGGUGAGUAACACGUGGGAACGUACCCUUAGGUUCGGAACAACACAGGGAAACUUGUGCUAAUACCGGAUAAGCCCUUCGGGGGAAAGAUUUAUCGGCUUUGGAGCGGCCCGCGUCUGAUUAGCUUGUUGGUGAGGUAAUGGCUCACCAAGGCUACGAUCAGUAGCUGGUCUGAGAGGAUGGCCAGCCACACUGGGACUGAGCCCCGGCCCAGACUCCUACGGGAGGCAGCAGUGGGGAAUCUUGCGCAAUGGGCGAAAGCCUGACGCAGCCAUGCCGCGUGGAUGAUGAAGGUCUUAGGAUUGUAAAAUCCUUUCACCGGGGACGAUAAUGACGGUACCCGGAGGAGAAGCCCCGGCUAACUUCGUGCCAGCCGCCGCCGUAA